UGGGGAAUAUUGGACAAUGGGCGAAAGCCUGAUCCAGCCAUGCCGCGUGUGUGAAGAAGGUCUUCGGAUUGUAAAGCACUUUAAGUUGGGAGGAAGGGCUGCAAGUUAAUACCUUGUAGUUUUGACGUUACCAACAGAAUAAGCACCGGCUAACUUCGUGCCAGCAGCCGCGGUAAUACGAAGGGUGCAAGCGUUAAUCGGAAUUACUGGGCGUAAAGCGCGCGUAGGUAGUUUGGUAAGAUGGAUGUGAAAUCCCCGGGCUCAACCUGGGAACUGCAUCCAUAACUGCCUGACUAGAGUACGGUAGAGGGUGGUGGAAUUUCCUGUGUAGCGGUGAAAUGCGUAGAUAUAGGAAGGAACACCAGUGGCGAAGGCGACCACCUGGACUGAUACUGACACUGAGGUGCGAAAGCGUGGGGAGCAAACA
rnacentral:rRNA from 1 species